AACGAACGCUGGCGGCAGGCCUAACACAUGCAAGUCGAGCGAGGACUUCGGUUCUAGCGGCGGACGGGUGAGUAACGCGUGGGAAUGUGCCCUUCUCUACGGAAUAGCCCUGGGAAACUGGGAGUAAUACCGUAUACGCCCUAUUGGGGAAAGAUUUAUCGGAGAAGGAUCAGCCCGCGUUGGAUUAGGUAGUUGGUGGGGUAAUGGCCUACCAAGCCGACGAUCCAUAGCUGGUUUGAGAGGAUGAUCAGCCACACUGGGACUGAGACACGGCCCAGACUCCUACGGGAGGCAGCAGUGGGGAAUCUUAGACAAUGGGGGCAACCCUGAUCUAGCCAUGCCGCGUGAGUGAUGAAGGCAUUAGGGUUGUAAAGCUCUUUCAGCUGGGAAGAUAAUGACGGUACCAGCAGAAGAAGCCCCGGCUAACUCCGUG
rnacentral:rRNA from 1 species